CCUACGGGAGACUGCAGUGGGGAAUAUUGGGCAAUGGGCGCAAGCCUGACCCAGCAACGCCGCGUGAAGGAAGAAGGCUUUCGGGUUGUAAACUUCUUUUCUCAGGGACGAAGCAAGUGACGGUACCUGAGGAAUAAGCCACGGCUAACUACGUGCCAGCAGCCGCGGUAAUACGUAGGGGGCAAGCGUUAUACGGAUUUACUGGGUGUAAAGGUCGUGUAGGCGGGACUGCAAGUCAGAUGUGAAAACGACGGGCUCAACCUGUGGCCUGCAUUUGAAACUGGAGUUCUUGAGUACUGGAGAGGCAGACGGAAUUCCUAGUGUAGCGGUGAAAUGCGUAGAUAUUAGGAGGAACACCAGUGGCGAAGGCGGUCUGCUGGACAGCAACUGACGCUGAGGCGCGAAAGCGUGGGGAGCAAACAGGAUUAGAUACCCCAGUAGUC
rnacentral:rRNA from 1 species